rnacentral:rRNA from 1 species
UACGGAGGGUGCAAGCGUUGUCCGGAAUCACUGGGCGUAAAGGGCGCGUAGGCGGCUCAUGAAGGCUGUGGUGAAAGUCCGGGGCUCAACCUCGGAUCGGCCGUGGCGACUCGUGGGCUGGAGCACUGUAGAGGCGGGUGGAAUUCCGGGUGUAGCGGUGGAAUGCGUAGAGAUGUGGAGGAACACCGAUGGCGAAGGCAGCCUUCUGGGCCAACACUGACGCUCAUGCACGAAAGCGUGGGGAGCAAACAGG